rfam:Triticum aestivum genome assembly, contig: Triticum_aestivum_CS42_TGACv1_scaffold_641414_T_6DL-0.177559_2DS-0.139103
UUUGGCCUAAUUCUUCCCCCAGGGGCCCAGGUAUCAUAUACACCGCCAAAAUAAAGAGCCUUGAGUACUAGAAGAAAAGCACCUAGACCUAACAAAAUUAAAAUCUUAAAAAUCUAAAAUUUGACCUGUUAGUGUUCUA